CUGGGCUUAAAGAGUUCGUAGGUGGUUGAAAAAGUUGGUGGUGAAAUCCCAGAGCUUAACUCUGGAACUGCCAUCAAAACUUUUCAGCUAGAGUUUGAUAGAGGAAAGCAGAAUUUCUAGUGUAGAGGUGAAAUUCGUAGAUAUUAGAAAGAAUACCAAUUGCGAAGGCAGCUUUCUGGAUCAUUACUGACACUGAGGAACGAAAGCAUGGGUAGCGAAGAGGAUUAGAUACCCUCGUAGUCCAUGCCGUAAACGAUGUGUGUUAGACGUUGGAAAUUUAUUUUCAGUGUCGCAGCGAAAGCGAUAAACACACCGCCUGGGGAGUACGACCGCAAGGUUAAAACUCAAAUGAAUUGACGGGGACCCGCACAAGUAGUGGAGCAUGUGGUUUAAUUCGAAGAUACGCGCAGAACCUUACCAACACUUGACAUGUUCGUCGCGACUUUAAGAGAUUAAAGUUUUCGGUUCGGCCGGACGAAACACAGGUGCUGCAUGGCUGUCGUCAGCUCGUGUCGUGAGAUGUUGGGUUAAGUCCCGCAACGAGCGCAACCCUCACUUUUAGUUGCCAUCAUUUAGUUGGGCACUCUGAAAGAACUGCCAGUGAUAAGCUGGAGGAAGGUGGGGAUGACGUCAAGUCCUCAUGGCCCUUACGUGUUGGGCUACACACGUGCUACAAUGGUAUCUACAACAGGAAGCGAAACGGCGACGUUAAGCAAAUCCUUAAAAGAUACCUCAGUUCGGAUUGCACUCUGCAACUCGAGUGCAUGAAGCUGGAAUUACU
rnacentral:rRNA from 1 species